AUGUUGUGACCCAACCAUAAAAUUAUUUUCAUUGCCUGUGGACAUGACCACAAAACAUUUCCCCAAUAGGUUUUUUUUCUGCUAUGUUGGUAGCAUAGCAUUCAGCCUACUGGGAACAUUU